rnacentral:misc_RNA from 1 species
AUGCGAUAACUAAUGUGAAUUGCAGAAUUCAGUGAAUCAUCGAGUCUUUGAACGCACAUUGCGCCCCCUGGUAUUCCGGGGGGCAUGCCUGUCCGAGCGUCAUUGCUGCCCUCAAGCCCGGCUUGUGUGUUGGGUCGCCGUCCCCCUCUCCGGGGGGACGGGCCCGAAAGGCAGCGGCGGCACCGCGUCCGAUCCUCGAGCGUAUGGGGCUUUGUCACAUGCUCUGUAGGAUUGGCCGGCGCCUGCCGACGUUUUCCAACCAUUCUUUCCAGGUUGACCUCGGAUCAGGUAGGGAUACCCGCUGAACUUAA